rnacentral:rRNA from 1 species
GAUGAACGCUGGCGGCGUGCCUAACACAUGCAAGUCGAGCGAUUCUCUUCGGAGAAGAGCGGCGGACGGGUGAGUAACGCGUGGGUAACCUGCCCUGUACACACGGAUAACAUACCGAAAGGUAUGCUAAUACGAGAUAAUAUGCUUUUAUCGCAUGGUAGAAGUAUCAAAGCUUUUGCGGUACAGGAUGGACCCGCGUCUGAUUAGCUAGUUGGUAAGGUAACGGCUACCAAGGCGACGAUCAGUAGCCGACCUGAGAGGGUGAUCGGCCACAUUGGAACUGAGACACGGUCCAAACUCCUACGGGAGGCAGCAGUGGGGAAUAUUGCACAAUGGGCGAAAGCCUGAUGCAGCAACGCCGCGUGAGCGAUGAAGGCCCUCGGGUCGUAAAGCUCUGUCCUCAAGGAAGAUAAUGACGGUACUUGAGGAGGAAGCCCCGGCUAACUACGUG